UGUUAUAAACAGCCUUAUUUAUAAUGAUUGUGCGGCUAUAAAUAGUUUGGUGUGCUGGGUGUAGCAGAGUGGCUCGGCUCAGGGCUGCCAGAGCCAGGAGGAAAGCCACAGGAGGAGGGAAGUCCUCGGCCGGGAAGGUAUUUGAUCCUCUUCCUCGCUGUCCCUUGUGGAAGGAGAAGUUGUGCACAACGGUGUUCCCAGGAGAAGGUGGAAGUUACUCACUUAAUUCACAUCCGCCCCGAGAUCUCCCGUGGAAAGGUUGAAAGGGAGUGGGCAUUCCUGUACGGCCUGCUUUGUGCCUAUUCAUGGACAGUGAGCUAAUUACGGGCUCCUUCUCAUGCUGGAGGGUGGAGGGAGACAUCCUGUUAUUUUCCAGAACAGGCAAAGCUCUAAAGUACAGCUGAAGUCUAUUAGGUAGGACGGUACAAAUCAGGGAGAGAAGAACCUCGCAAGAAAUUGACUUCAUGAUGUCAUCUUAGCAUCCUUGAGACACGCGCUGAGCCCCUGUUAGCGGAAGUAGUCACAGCUGGAGGUUUGGGGCAGAAGGACACAGGCAAGCAAUCCUUCUUGGAAAAGGGAUUACUUUUUUUUUUUUUUUUUUUUGCUGUAUCAUCAGCAACCUCUUCAUUGUCGUCAUCAUCAUUAUUGCAAUUUUUGUCCAAGAGCGCCGUGAGAUGCAUCCUAUUGGAACCCGUCCCCCUCGAGCUGUAGCGAGGACAGCCUGCCCAAACACCUGUGACGCGGAAGGCACGUGGUAAAUAUUCGCAGAGAGAACAAACGAAGGUUUACUCUCUUUUUAAAUCUCCCCGAUGCCGAGUACUAGCUGAGAAGGAUGUGGUAUACGUGCCUUAGUUCAGGCCCUUUGGCUACGCAUUCUUGGAACUCGAAGUGUUUGGAGCUUCAGGACGUCAUUAGCUCCUUCCAUUCUGUUCCCCUCCUUUGACCAAGUGACCGGUUGGAAGCCAUUUGCUUUUCUAAGAGAUGGAGCUGGGAUAGAGUGUCUCUUGCCUUCCAGAAACGAGAACUCAUGUUUUUCGGAGAUGGAGAGACACGCCCAUUAUACAGAUCAGGAGAGUGGAGGCCCAGAGAGAUGUGAAUCACUCACUCCAGGUCACAGGCAUCAGCUCGAAGCCCAGAUUGAAAACGAACCUCAUCGAUUUCAAAGUCUGUACUGUCCAUGUCACUGACCCAGCUAAACUUUACGGGACUACAUUUUCCCCUACACUUCUCUCCCUGACUUCAGCUCGCUGGUGAUGGGCUGUGUGUGAGUGUCUGGGGUCUGAGGCGCCUCGCGGCUGCCAUCCUGUCUGCCUGGCCGCGCUGCACCCCCACUUCCCCCAGCCUCAGGUGGACGGGCCCCCCAGCAAAUGCCUUUCCUGGAAACAUGAGGCCGCCACAGCCCUCCGCCGCCCGACCCCCUCUGCGUUCAAGCCUCUGCUCUGUCUCCACCGGCCAGCCGUGCCCCCCCCCCCCCACCCGACCUCACCCUGACACAGGGAGAGACCCUUGAUGGCCAGACGUGCAUUGCAAGCCCCAACCAACGCUCCGUUUGGAAACAGGAGAAUUUUCAUUUUGCUUUGGUUUGGGGGGGGGGGUUGUAAAACUGGGACACAUGCAAAAGAUCUAGGCGGACAACGGGGAGGGCGAGAUGGGGAGGAAACAGAGGAAAGGGGCUGGGGGCAGCAGGUGGGAGGGGGCCGGCAGGACCCGUGAAAGAAUAAACUAAGCCUUCAUCUCGGAGUCUGAUCCGUUUCUGGACCCUGAUGGGAAAGGUCAUGAAUUUUAAAAUGUAUCUCUCCGGCCGACAGCUCCAGUCAUAAAGCCAGCACUCUCUGAAGCUCUGGACGGCAGGCGGCCGGAGACCUGAGACCGAGGG